rnacentral:rRNA from 1 species
GACAGAGGGUGCAAACGUUGUUCGGAAUUACUGGGCGUAAAGCGCGUGUAGGCGGCUAAGUAAGUCGGGCGUGAAAUCCCACGGCUCAACCGUGGAAGUGCACUCGAAACUGCAUAGCUAGAGUCCUGGAGAGGAAGGUGGAAUGCUUGGUGUAGAGGUGAAAUUCGUAGAUAUCAAGCGGAACACCGGUGGCGAAGGCGGCCUUCUGGGACAGUGACUGACGCUGAGACGCGAAAGCGUGGGGAGCAAACAGGG